rnacentral:rRNA from 1 species
GAUGAACGCUGGCGGCGUGCUUAACACAUGCAAGUCGAACGGUGAAAGCGGAGCUUGCUCUGCUGGAUCAGUGGCGAACGGGUGAGUAACACGUGAGCAACCUGCCCCGGACUCUGGGAUAACAGCUGGAAACAGCUGCUAAUACCGGAUACGAGCUGCGCAGGCAUCUUCAGCAGCUGGAAAGAACUUCGGUCCGGGAUGGGCUCGCGGCCUAUCAGCUAGUGGGUGAGGUAACGGCUCACCAAGGCGACGAUCAGUAGCUGGUCUGAGAGGAUGAUCAGCCACACUGGGACUGAGACACGGCCCAGACUCCUACGGGAGGCAGCAGUGGGGAAUAUUGGACAAUGGGCGCAAGCCUGAUCCAGCCAUGCCGCGUGAGUGAUGAAGGCCCUAGGGUUGUAAAGCUCUUUUGUGCGGGAAGAUAAUGACUGUACCGCAAGAAUAAGCCCCGGCUAACUUCGUGCCAGCAGCCGCAGUAACAC